UGGGGAAUAUUGCACAAUGGAGGGAACUCUGAUGCAGCGACGCCGCGUGAACGAAGAAGGCUUUCGAGUCGUAAAGCUCUUUUAUAUGGGAAGAUAAUGACGGUACCAUAAGAAAAAGCCUCGGCUAACUACGUGCCAGCAGCCGCGGUAAUACGCAGGGGGCUAGCGUUGUCCGGAAUCACUGGGCGUAAAGGGUUCGCAGGCGGAAAUGCAAGUCAGGUGUAAAAGGCAGUAGCUUAACUACUGUAAGCAUUUGAAACUGCAUAUCUUGAGAAGAGUAGAGGUAAGUGGAAUUUUUAGUGUAGCGGUGAAAUGCGUAGAUAUUAAAAAGAAUACCGGUGGCGAAGGCGACUUACUGGGCUCAUUCUGACGCUGAGGAACGAAAGCGUGGGUAGCAAACAGG
rnacentral:rRNA from 1 species